rnacentral:rRNA from 1 species
GACGAACGCUGGCGGCGUGCUUAGCACAUGCAAGUCGAGCGGUAAGGCCUCUUCGGGGGUACACGAGCGGCGAACGGGUGAGUAACACGUGAGUAAUCUGCCCUUCACUUCGGGAUAAGCUUCGGAAACGGGGUCUAAUACCGGAUACGACACUUUCAGGCAUCUGAUGAGUGCGGACAGUUUUUUCGGUGGGGGAUGUGCCCGGGGCAUAUCAGCUUGUUGGUGGGGUAAUGGCCUACCAAGGCUUCGACGGGUAGCCGGCCUGAGAGGGUGACCGGCAACACUGGGACUGAGACACGGCCCAGACUCCUACGGGAGGCAGCAGUGGGGAAUAUUGGACAAUGGGCGGAAGCCUGAUCCAGCAACGCCGCGUGAGGGAUGACGGCCUUCGGGUUGUAAACCUCUUUCAGUACCGACGAAGCGAGAGUGACGGUGGGUACAGAAGAAGCACCGGCCAACUACGUGCCAGCAGCCGCCGUAAAAC